CUUGGAACUGCUCCAGUUUGCAAACUCCUCCCUUCCACCCUGAUGUUCUCUGCUUGUGUUUGCACUGUACUGACAGCUACCAAGUGUCCAUGCUGUUGGUGAGCUGAGGGCUUUCUCUUAUGGAUGUGGGAAUAGUGAUGCUUGGAUGGGGUGCCACCGAGAUGUCAGUGUCUCUUCCCAACAGAAGAGCAGGAGCAGAUUGGAUUUGGGCUCCACUUGAUCCAACAAAGAAGCCUUGGAUUUUGAUUCACACACUUGAUAAGAAAGAAAAGAAAAAGAAGCCAGCUUUGGGAAUGAGUACCUUCCCAAUUUACGGUGAUCCAGCUCAGUGUUCCCUUUCAGCACAGGAGUGAACCACAAAUGCUUGAGCAGCAAAAAGUUUUCUUAAAAACAAAGAAAACAGACAUUCAGGCAUGAAGAAAACCACUCCAGUUGUCUUAGAAAGAAAGGACUUUGUGGCCCCAAAGGAUACUUGAGGAUUUUUUCUAAGCCUCUAGCAACUUGGUCUGCAUGAUUUAGCUGCAGUGGAAGCCUGGUGUUGCUGCACAGCCUAUUACACCUACUGAAAGUGACCCUAGCACAGUUAAUA
ensembl:lncRNA